AGAGUUUGAUCAUGGCUCAGAACGAACGCUGGCGGCAGGCUUAACACAUGCAAGUCGAGCGCCCAGCAAUGGGAGCGGCGGACGGGUGAGUAACACGUGGGAACAUGCCCUUCGGUACGGAACAACUCAGGGAAACUUGAGCUAAUACCGCAUACGCCCUAACGGGGAAAGAUUUAUCGCCGAAGGAUUGGCCCGCGCCUGAUUAGCUUGUUGGUGAGGUAAUGGCUCACCAAGGCUUCGAUCAGUAGCUGGUUUGAGAGAGCGACCAGCCACACUGGGACUGAGACACGGCCCAGACUCCUACGGGAGGCAGCAGUGAGGAAUCUUGGACAAUGGGGGAAACCCUGAUCCAGCCAUGCCGCGUGAGUGAUGAAGGCCUUAGGGUUGUAAAACUCUUUCGACGGGGACGAUAAUGACGGUACCCGUAGAAGAAGCUCCGGCUAACUUCGUGCCAGCAGCCGCGGUAAUACGAAGGGGGCUAGCGUUGUUCGGAAUUACUGGGCGUAAAGCGUGCGCAGGCGGAUCAUCAAGUCAGAGGUGAAAGCCCAGGGCUCAACCCUGGAAUUGCCUUUGAAACUGAUGGUCUUGAGUGCGGGAGAGGUGAGUGGAAUUCCCAGUGUAGAGGUGAAAUUCGUAGAUAUUGGGAAGAACACCGGUGGCGAAGGCGGCUCACUGGCCCGUUUCUGACGCUCAUGCACGAUAGCGUGGGGAUCAAACAGGAUUAGAUACCCUAGUAGUCC
rnacentral:rRNA from 1 species